GCUCUUGUCGUCUAAAGGUAUAGGAUGGCUGACUUUCAAUCAGUUGAUGUUGGGUUCGAGUCCCACCAAGAGUA
rnacentral:tRNA from 8 species